rnacentral:rRNA from 1 species
AAGGCGCUUGAGAGAACUCGGGUGAAGGAACUCGGCAAAAUUGUACCGUAACUUCGGGAGAAGGUACGCCUCUGUUUGUGAACACUUCGCGUGGUAAGCAAAUGGAGGCCGCAGUGACCAGGUGGCUGGGACUGUUUAUUAAAAACACAGCACUCUGCAAACUCGUAAGAGGACGUAUAGGGUGUGACACCUGCCCGGUGCCGGAAGGUUAAUUGAUGGGGUUAGUUUUCGGACGAAGCUCUUGAUCGAAGCCCCGGUAAACGGCGGCCGUAACAAUAACGGUCCUAAGGUAGCGAAAUUCCUUGUCGGGUAAGUUCCGACCUGCACGAAUGGUGUAACGAUCUGGGCACUGUCUCGGCCAUGAGCUCGGUGAAAUUGUAGUAGCGGUGAAGAUGCCGCUUACUCGCAACGGGACGAAAAGACCCCGUGAACCUUUACUAUAGCUUUGCACUGGACUUUGAGCUUGCUUGUGUAGGAUAGGUGGGAGGCUUUGAAGCACAGUCGCUAGAUUGUGUGGAGCCGUCCUUGAAAUACCACCCUUGUAUGUUUGAUGUUCUAACAUUGUUCCCUUAUCGGGAAUGUGGACAGUGUCUGGUGGGUAGUUUGACUGGGGCGGGCUCCUCCCAAAUAGUAACGGAGG